AAAUGAGAAAUACAUUAAAGUGUAGAUUUUUUUGAUAAAUAACUCAGUGGAAAUGUAAGUAGUGUCACAGCUGUGACAUGACUGUGUACACAUCCUCAACAGCAAGCAAAAACUUGAUCUUUUGCGUUUUUCUUUCAAGUGUCACAAUCCAUAGGACGAUUAACUGCAAAAAAGAAAGGAAACACAGUAUGACUGGAUAACUUUACAACAAAGUACACAAUGUGAGGGACUUGCACAGGACAUUGAGAGUGUAAUACAGCCCUGUUUACACACAAGUGAGAGCUUAGCACAAACAGCGGUAGGAUAGCACUCUGACCUAUUUGUCAUUAAACUGUGUUUUCUUAAAAGGUGAGCAUGUCUGGAAGCAUGCUGGAGACUGUCCUCAAACACUGGGAAUCCCGUGGGAGCUCAACUUCUCCAGGCCUGUGUACACAGUGCAAACAUGGGGUAAGUGGCCAGAAACAAGGGUAGGAAUUAGAGAGGGUUUUGUGACCACGGUUUAUCAGCAGCCUGCUCUCUGUUUGCCGUUGUGCAGAGGCGGGCUUCUUUGGUCUGCUUAAUGCUGUCCCUGUGGAGGUCAGGAGGUUGAUUCUGGCCCAUAGCCAGCAAACCAACAGCCAUUUUGGGCCCCUAGAUAGAGGCUGAGGUAUUCAGUGUUGGUAUAUCUGAUACGAGGUCUGGAGGAGUCUUGAACCCAACAGCAUGUCUACAUCCGGGACACAUUCUUCUCUUUACAGUGACCCAACAGCACUAUCCUCAGUAUGAUGUAGACAGCUUGUACAACACUAAUGCUGCGUUCGACUGGGGGGCCCCUUCAGAUUAUUGACACAGGACCAAGAACUGGCACGAUCUGCCCACUCCCUUUUUUCCAUAAGUCUCCAUGAGCCUGGGGUGUACACCUUCAAACUCAGCAGCCACCAACAUAGGCACAUGCGGUGACUCUGGUGUCAAAUUAAUUCUGGAACUGUGAAGAGCAAGUGGAUUUCGGAGCCUUCAGUUCCAGCACUUUCUACGACAUCCUACUCAAGCACAGCGUGUCUGUCACAAUACGUCUCGGGCAGCUCAGAGGAGAGGUGAAGCAGCUCUAUCAGGGGGUGCUGGGGAAGCUGAGAGAGCUCCACCCUGGCUGGGGGAUGUUUGGAGGGAAAACCGAAAGUCUGGAGAGGCAGGUGGAGCAGGAGAUGGUGCGACGGAGUGCACUGGGCAUUCAGCUGACACAGCUACUGGACAGCCAGCUGCAGAUCCUGCGGGUGGAGAUGAGAGCAGACCACAGCGGGCCAUGCAGAAGACCUUCAGAGACUGCUGGCUGAGGGUCAGACCUCGCUCUGGGAUAAACACAUCAAGCAACAUGAGCGAGUAGCUGAUGAGAUGACUGAGAUGGUAUCAGUGGAGAGCCAGAGGCUGGGGGCCUGGGUUGUGCUUAAAGAGGGCACUGGAGCACAACUAUUAUGCCCUGCUACUGGAUCAGUCCUCAGUAGGGAAGACGUCAUCGGUGAGGUGGGAAAAUGGGAAUCACCCCUGCUGUCUUUCAGUUCGUACCCUCCAUCCCGCCACGCUGAAAUCCAUGCUGCUUCCAAACUACGGGGGCUUCGUUCAGUCCAAUGGUUGGUGUUCCAUCUCGUGCUUGCGGCAGCCUAUUCAGAUUGGCUCUCCCAUGCUAGACCCUCGUACAGGUGACCUGGUGCUCAUCACCAGCGUCAGUCUUGAUCCCCAUACAGGAGCUGUACUACCAGUUGGGGGGCUUCUCUUGGGUGAGUCCUUCAAUAAGCCCUUGAGCGGCCGGAUGGCACGGGUUGGUGGAUGUAGUGUGCGAGGAGGAAAGGUGGUGCCUCAUGCUGGGGGUUUCCAGGCUCUGCUGGGCGCUUGCUUGCGGGUGGCGGAGCUCUUGCAAGGAUUCAGUGAGGAGUGGAGCUCAGCAGCUGCAGAUCCACAAGGUGACCUGGACAGAGUCUCGGCAGAAACAGUGGAGCUGGAGGAGGCCUAG
ensembl:lncRNA